rnacentral:rRNA from 1 species
CCCUUAGAUGUUCUGGGCGGCCCGCGCACUACAAUGGCGUGUGCAGCGAGUGCCGAAGUAGAGUUUUCCGAGGUAUUCUUGCAAUGCUCGUUUUGAUGGGGAUAGACCCUUGCAACUGUUGGUUUUGAACGAGGAAUUCCUUGUAAGCAUGGUUUAUCAUCCGACGCUGAAUGCGUCCCUGCCCUUUGUACACACCGCCCGUCGCUCCUACCGAUGAGUCGUCCGGUGAAGUUCGUAGACCUCGUGAUCGCGGAUCACUGAGGGAAGCAAAAUGAACCUCGCGGUUUAGAGGAAGGAGAAGUCGUAACA